ACAAACUGAGGUUUCUUGACAUGGUAGCAGAGCUACAAACCUAACUACGAAAAACGGUUUUGUAUUGCUCGAUCUUGUGAUUUUGUUUCCGCUGUCACUACUACUCUGUUUUUCUUCUCUCUCUGCUUGACCUCUCUUUCGAUUUUCUCUUUUAAUCGAAAGUUUUUCUAAACGAUGAGUGAAAUGGCUGUAGCUCGUGUUGAAACUCGUCGC
rnacentral:lncRNA from 1 species